GACGAACGCUGGCGGCGUGCUUAACACAUGCAAGUCGAACGGAAAGGCCCCUUUGGGGGUACUCGAUUGGCUAACGGGCGAGUAACACGUGCGUAACCUGCCCUUCACUUCGGGAUAACUUCAUGAAACUGGCUCUAAUACCUGCUAGGAAUCCUUUCUGCAUGGUGGGGGUUGGAAAGCUUCGGCGGUUUUGGAUGGACUCGCGGCUUAUCAGCUUGUUGGUGGGGUAGUGGGUUACCAAGGCUUUGACGGGUAGCCGGCCUGGGAGGGGGAACGGCCAAAUUGGGGCUGAGAUACGGCCCCGACCCCUACGGGAGGGAGGAGUGGGGAAUAUUGCAAAAUGGGCGGAAGCCUGAUGGCGCAACGCCGCGGGCGGGAUGACGGGCUUCGGGUUGGAAAACGGCUUCAGCAGGGGCGAAGCUGGUGGUGACGGUAACUGCAGAAGAAGCACCGGCUAACUACGUG
rnacentral:rRNA from 1 species